AGAGUUCGAUCCUGGCUCAGAACGAACGCUGGCGGCAUGCCUAACACAUGCAAGUCGAACGCUAUCUUGUAUAGAGUGGCGCACGGGUGAGUAACGCGUGGGAACCUGCCUUUCUCUGCGGGACAACGGUUGGAAACGACCGCUAAUACCGCAUACGCCCUACGGGGGAAAGGUCAGCCGGAGAAAGAGGGGCCCGCGUUAGAUUAGCUAGUUGGUAGGGUAAUGGCCUACCAAGGCGACGAUCUAUAGCUGGUCUGAGAGGAUGAUCAGCCACACUGGGACUGAGACACGGCCCAGACUCCUACGGGAGGCAGCAGUGGGGAAUAUUGGACAAUGGGGGCAACCCUGAUCCAGCAAUGCCGCGUGUGUGAUGAAGGCCCUAGGGUUGUAAAGCACUUUCACUGGUGAAGAUGAUGACGGUAACCAGAGAAGAAGCCCCGGCUAACUUCGUGCCAGCCGCCGCGGUAAUUC
rnacentral:rRNA from 1 species